GACCUUCAGUGGUGAUAGAACUCCUGCUUUACACGCAGAAGGUCCCAGGUUCAGUCCCUGGCAUCUCCA